GGAGCUGCAGCUCAGUGGCAGAGUGCUUGCCUAGCAUGCAUGAGGCAGUGGGUUCGAUCCUCAGCACCA
rnacentral:tRNA from 1 species